rnacentral:lncRNA from 1 species
CCCGAGUAGCUGGGACUACAAGCGUGUGCCACCACGCCUGGAAAACAACAACAGUAACAACAACAAAAACUCAAGAAACAGGAAUGCAAGCUCUACAUUUUGUUAAACUAAGGACAUUUCUUACUCGUAACAAUCAGAUAUAAAAAAGUGCUGCCACAGGGGCAAGAAUGAUGCUCAGAAGGUCUUUAAUGGCUACAAAUCUUGGAUUAAGCUGACUGAGCAGUUCUUACACCGAGAAGCAAAACAACAACCUUUUGUUUCAAGAAACAGGUGCAUCAUGCUAAUGCCUAUAUGUUUAUUCCUGCUACCUCCAAUAGUUCACUGAUAAUUCAGAUUCAGACCAAUGGAGAAACCAUGGGAGGAAAAAAACAAACUUUUACUCUGAGUAAGUAACACCAUUAAAAUCAAGUUUGCAAAUAAAAAUUAAAUAUAAUUUAAAGUAUUUCCUGCCAAGCACUUCAAAAAUGUAAUCUUUAGUACAUUUUGAGGUAGCAAGCAUUUUUUAAAACUGUAGUUAGUAAAUUAAAGCUAAAAUAAAAUUUUAAAAGAGCCUGUUUCCACCAUGUUGUAAAUGGAAGUUAUUAUAAUUCAAUAUUAGAUAUGAAUCAGUUAAUUCUACCUCAGCCAAAGCUCUGAUAUUUUAGAGAACAGCAGAUGUUACCCUUUCUAGUACCCCAUUAAUAUACCUAGUCAGUUUUUCCACUAUUAUCCCUCGGGCAGAGAAUAAAGGCAUAUUUUCUUUUCUGUUUCUUAAGCAAACCCACUUGCUCCCU